UCCAUCCGAUGCCGCCUCCUCUCUCUAGGAGCGUUAAUUACACUCAAAUAUUCCUCACUAUACCAGGAAAAAAGUCUAUCCAGAUCGUUGGGAGUUGCUCAACGCACUGAGGAAAAUUUCAUUCGUUACGGAGGAUUCACAACGACAACUAAGCAGACGCAAGAUGAGGAACGAAAAUACUGAUCAUGGUG
rnacentral:lncRNA from 1 species